GUGCCAGCAGCCGCGGUAAUACGUAGGGUGCGAGCGUUGUCCGGAAUUACUGGGCGUAAAGAGCUCGUAGGUGGUUUGUCGCGUCGUCUGUGAAAUUCCGGGGCUUAACUCCGGGCGUGCAGGCGAUACGGGCAUAACUUGAGUGCUGUAGGGGAGACUGGAAUUCCUGGUGUAGCGGUGGAAUGCGCAGAUAUCAGGAGGAACACCGAUGGCGAAGGCAGGUCUCUGGGCAGUAACUGACGCUGAGGAGCGAAAGCAUGGGUAGCGAACAGGAUUAGAUACCCUGGUAGUCCAUGCCGUAAACGGUGGGCGCUAGGUGUGAGUCCCUUCCACGGGGUUCGUGCCGUAGCUAACGCAUUAAGCGCCCCGCCUGGGGAGUACGGCCGCAAGGCUAAAACUCAAAGGAAUUGACGGGGGCCCGCACAAGCGGCGGAGCAUGUGGAUUAAUUCGAUGCAACGCGAAGAACCUUACCUGGGCUUGACAUACACCAGAUCGCCGUAGAGAUACGGUUUCCCUUUGUGGUUGGUGUACAGGUGGUGCAUGGUUGUCGUCAGCUCGUGUCGUGAGAUGUUGGGUUAAGUCCCGCAACGAGCGCAACCCUUGUCUUAUGUUGCCAGCAAUUCGGUUGGGGACUCGUGAGAGACUGCCGGGGUUAACUCGGAGGAAGGUGGGGAUGACGUCAAAUCAUCAUGCCCCUUAUGUCCAGGGCUUCACACAUGCUACAAUGGUCGGUACAACGCGUUUGCGAGCCUGUGAGGGUGAGCUAAUCGCUGAAAGCCGGUCGUAGUUCGGAUUGGGGUCUGCAACUCGACCCCAUGAAGUCGGAGUCGCUAGUAAUCGCAGAUCAGCAACGCUGCGGUGAAUACGUUCCCGGGCCUUGUACACACCGCCCGUCACGUCAUGAAAGUUGGUAACACCCGAAGCCAGUGGCCUGUUAAAGGGAGCUGUCGAAGGUGGGAUCGGCGAUUGGGACGAAGUCGUAACAAGGUA
rnacentral:rRNA from 1 species